UGAUAGUGUAGUGGACCUCCGAAAAUUUUGUUUUUUUAGUUUCCAUGUAAGCCUAUAUAUAGGCACAUCACAAUUGUUUUUUUGGGUACUCUCUGAUAUAAGCAAUAAAGCAUCUGCAAACUUUAUUUCUAUUUUCUUUGUGUUGUCUCUUUAUCAUUUUUUCCUCAACAUUCCAUGCCUUGGAGCACCCUAUUGGUAGUUUUCAUCAGAGUACAUGUCAUCAGAGCCUGCUUUUUUUUUUCUUUUUUAAAAGUCAACUAAAUUCUGAAUGAUAAUGAAGUAUAUUGUCAUUAAAUGAAAUAUAAUGAAGAAUUUAUUUGAAAUUGUAAUGCUAAAUUAUUUUUAAG
rnacentral:misc_RNA from 1 species